rnacentral:rRNA from 1 species
GACGAACCGUGCGAACGUUGUUCGGAAUCACUGGGCUUAAAGGGCGCGUAGGCGGGCCGUCAAGUCCGGGGUGAAAGCCCCCAGCUCAACUGGGGAAGUGCCUCGGAUACUGCCGGCCUCGAGGGAGGUAGGGGCGUGCGGAACUUCCGGUGGAGCGGUGAAAUGCGUAGAUAUCGUAAGGAAGACCAGUGGCGAAGGCGGGUCUCUGGACAGUUCCUGACGCUGAGGCACGAAGGUCAGGGGAGCAAACGGG